UACGUAGGUGGCAAGCGUUGUUCGGAAUUAUUGGGCGUAAAGAGCGCGCAGGCGGUCGUUCAAGUCGCGUGUGAAAGCCCCCGGCUCAACUGGGGAGGGUCACGCGAUACUGAUCGACUCGAAGGCAGGAGAGGGUAGUGGAAUUCCCGGUGUAGUGGCGAAAUGCGUAGAUAUCGGGAGGAACACCAGUGGCGAAGGCGACUACCUGGCCUGUUCUUGACGCUGAGGCGCGAAAGCUAGGGGAGCAAACGGG
rnacentral:rRNA from 1 species